GAGGGUGUAGCUCAGUGGUAGAGCACAUGCUUAGCACGCACGGAGUCCUGGGUUUCAAUCCCCGGCACCUCUG
rnacentral:tRNA from 1 species